UAUUAGAUCAAAUAAUUUUAACUUAGUUGGCUUAGUUGAGACAAAGGUUAAGGAGGUUAAUGUAGACAGAAUUGUUAAGCUGUUGGCACCUGAUUGGAGUCUUCUUUCUAAUUAUAAAGGAUCAGCUAAUGGCAGAAUUUGGGUACUAUGGAAAUUCCAAGAAGAUAUUGGUCACUGGUAUUCAAGAGGAUGCUCAAUUUCUUCAUUGUAAGGUCAUGACCUAUACAGGUGUUCUGGUUUGC
rnacentral:lncRNA from 1 species